UUCGGAUUUACCCCAUCACUGUAUCUCUCCUCUAUAUAUCUCUUACAAACCCUAUUUCUCUUCUCUCUAGCUUCGAAUUGGAGACCGAAUGGGGGUAGAGUUUGGGGGUUUCAGAGAGGCGUUUGGGGAUGAGAGAGAGGGAGCGAUUGAAGGAAGGAGAGGGAGCGAGUGAGAUCACCACCAGAUCGACGAUCGCCGAUUCAUCAGGAGAUAAACGAUCGAAGAGACUCCUGUCUCUCACUCUUUUCGGACUCUCUUCUCUGUAUAUUCGAAUUGGAGACCGAAUGGGGGUAGAGUUUGGGGGUUUCGGAGCAUCAUUUCUCAAAUUUGGCAGCUGCCAUAUUCAACCACUGGAGCAUCAUUUUUCAACACAGCCUGCAGCUCCAAUGGCAAACCAUGGGAGAUGCUCUAAAAAUCACCUUCAUGUAUCAUAGAAAAAUCCAGCUCAGAUAGGUACAGCAGAGACAGAUAGGAAAAGCCUGAAAGCCUGAAGCUCAGAUAGGUACAACAGACCAAUACUCAAGCCUGAAAGCCUGUGUGUCUUUCUUUAUACUUUCUCCGUCGCUCUCGCUCGCUGUGUGUACAUCUCAUCCUUAUCUUGGCCGAUGGAUCGAUUCGAUUUGCUUUCUUCAAUCAUAGAGCUAUGCAAAGGGUUUUUGUUCGAUGAGAUGAUUUAUUGGGAAUGGUCUGUAUAUUCUGUGCAGUAAAUUUCUCGAAGACUAUUGUAGAAAAAAGAAGUAUGAAGUGUUGAAGCCUCUCGUGUUGUUCUUGUUGAAAUGCCACUAGUACACAGCAGAGAAAGAAAUUUAACAAGAGAUUGCGAGAGAAUAACCUUCAAAUUAUGAGAGAGUUUUUUUAUCGGGUAAUGUAUAAUUUCAUUUUUUCUUCCAAUUGUGUUAUGGUUACACCUUUAUUGAUUAUGAUUAUGAUUAUGAUUAUGAUUAUGAUUUUAUUUUAUUUUAUUUUAUUUUAUUUA